GUCUAUGGCCAUACAACCCUGAAUGCUCCCAAUCUUGUCUGAUCUCGGAAGCUAAGCAGGGGCAGGCCUGGUUAGUACUUGGAUGGGAAUUAGCCUGUAAAAAUAUGCCACAUUCU
rnacentral:rRNA from 1 species